rnacentral:rRNA from 1 species
UACAGGUGGUGCAUGGCUGUCGUCAGCUCGUGUCGUGAGAUGUUGGGUUAAGUCCCGCAACGAGCGCAACCCUUGUCCUGUGUUGCCAGCAUGCCCUUCGGGGUGAUGGGGACUCACGGGAGACUGCCGGGGUCAACUCGGAGGAAGGUGGGGACGACGUCAAGUCAUCAUGCCCCUUAUGUCUUGGGCUGCACACGUGCUACAAUGGCCGGUACAAUGAGCUGCGAUACCGUGAGGUGGAGCGAAUCUCAAAAAGCCGGUCUCAGUUCGGAUUGGGGUCUGCAACUCGACCCCAUGAAGUCGGAGUCUCUAGUAAUCGCAGAUCAGCAGUGCUGCGGUGAAUACGUUCCCGGGUCUUGUACACACC